rfam:Operophtera brumata OBRT01_Sc00895, whole genome shotgun sequence.
CAUUCCAUAGCCGAAUUGGUCAAGGCAUUGCCGAUUAGAGGCGAAGAUAUGGGUUCAAGUCCCGCUGGAACGG